rnacentral:rRNA from 1 species
CCUACGGGAGGCAGCAGUAGGGAAUCUUCCGCAAUGGACGAAAGUCUGACGGAGCAACGCCGCGUGAACGAUGAAGGCCUUCGGGUCGUAAAGUUCUGUUGUUAGGGAAGAACAAGUGCUAGUUGAAUAAGCUGGCACCUUGACGGUACCUAACCAGAAAGCCACGGCUAACUACGUGCCAGCAGCCGCGGUAAUACGUAGGUGGCAAGCGUUGUCCGGAAUUAUUGGGCGUAAAGCGCGCGCAGGCGGUUUCUUAAGUCUGAUGUGAAAGCCCCCGGCUCAACCGGGGAGGGUCAUUGGAAACUGGGAAACUUGAGUGCAGAAGAGGAAAGUGGAAUUCCAAGUGUAGCGGUGAAAUGCGUAGAGAUUUGGAGGAACACCAGUGGCGAAGGCGACUUUCUGGUCUGUAACUGACGCUGAGGCGCGAAAGCGUGGGGAGCAAACAGGAUUAGAUACCCUGGUAGUCCACGCUGUAAACGAUGAGUGCUAAGUGUUAGAGGGUUUCCGCCCUUUAGUGCUGAAGUUAACGCAUUAAGC